CCUACGGGAGGCAGCAGUGGGGAAUAUUGCACAAUGGGCGCAAGCCUGAUGCAGCAACGCCGCGUGAGGGACGACGGCCUUCGGGUUGUAAACCUCUUUUAGCAGGGAAGAAGCGAAAGUGACGGUACCUGCAGAAAAAGCGCCGGCUAACUACGUGCCAGCAGCCGCGGUAAUACGUAGGGCGCAAGCGUUAUCCGGAAUUAUUGGGCGUAAAGAGCUCGUAGGCGGUUUGUCGCGUCUGCUGUGAAAUCCGGAGGCUCAACCUCCGGCCUGCAGUGGGUACGGGCAGACUAGAGUGCGGUAGGGGAGAUUGGAAUUCCUGGUGUAGCGGUGGAAUGCGCAGAUAUCAGGAGGAACACCGAUGGCGAAGGCAGAUCUCUGGGCCGUAACUGACGCUGAGGAGCGAAAGGGUGGGGAGCAAACAGGCUUAGAUACCCUGGUAGUCCACCCGUAAACGUUGGGAACUAGUUGUGGGGUCCAUUCCACGGAUUCCGUGACGCAGCUAACGCAUUAAGUUCCCCGCCUGGGGAGUACGGCCGCAAGGCUAAAACUUAAAUGAAUUGACGG
rnacentral:rRNA from 1 species